AAAUCAGUUAUGGUUCCUUGGAUCGUACUUUACUACUUGGAUAACUGUGGCAAUUCUAGAGCUAAUACAUGCAGCAGAGCUCCGACCUUCGGGGACGAGCGCUUUUAUUAGACCAAAACCAAUCGGGCCUCGCGUCCGUUGAAUGUGGUGACUCUGUAUAACUUUGGGCUGAUCGCACGGGCUCGUCCCGGCGACGUAUCCUUCAAGUGUCUGCCUUAUCAACUGUCGAUGGUAGGUUACGCGCCUACCAUGGUCGUAACGGGUAACGGGGAAUCAGGGUUCGAUUCCGGAGAGGGAGCCUGAGAAACGGCUACCACAUCCAAGGAAGGCAGCAGGCGCGCAAAUUACCCACUCCCGGAACGGGGAGGUAGUGACGAAAAAUAACAAUACGGGACUCUUUUGAGACCCCGUAAUUGGAAUGAGUACACUCUAAAUCCUUUAGCGAUUAUCGAUUGGAGGGCAAGCCUAGUGCCAGCAGCCGCGGUAAUUCUAGCUCCAAUAGCGUAUAUUAAAGUUGUUGCGGUUAAAAAGCUCGUAGUUGGAUCUCAGUUCCAGACGUGCGGACCGCCUACCGGCGAUAUCUGCCCGUUCUGAACAGGCCAGCCGGUUUCCCUUGAUCAUCUUCACCGGUUGUCUCGGGUGACCGGCAAGUUUACUUUGAAAAAAUUAGAGUGCUCAAAGCAGGCGCGACGCCUGAAUAAUGGUGCAUGGAAUAAUGGAAUAGGACCUCGGUUCUAUUUUGUUGGUUUUCGGAACACGAGGUAAUGAUUAAUAGGGACAGACGGGGGCAUUCGUAUUGCGACGCUAGAGGUGAAAUUCUUGGACCGUCGCAAGACGAACUACUGCGAAAGCAUUUGCCAAGAAUGUUUCCAUCAAUCAAGAACGAAAGUUAGAGGAUCGAAGGCGAUCAGAUACCGCCCUAGUUCUAACCAUAAACGAUGCCAGCCAGCGAUCCGGCUGUGUUCCUCAAAUGACACGCCGGGCAGCUUCCAGGAAACUAUUGCCAGGUUCCGGGGGAAGUAUGGUUGCAAAGCUUAAACUUAAAGGAAUUGACGGAAGAGCACCACAAGGCAUGGAGCUUGCGGCUUAAUUUGACUCAACACACGGGAGCCUACCCGGCCCGGACACAGGAAGGAUUGACAGAUUGAGAGCUCUUUCUUGAUUCUGUGGGUAGUGGUGCAUGGCCGUUCUUAGUUGGUGGGGCGACUUGUCUGGUCAAUUCCGAUAACGAACGAGACUCUAGCCUACUAAAUAGACGUUCCGAUCCUUCGAGUCGGACGUUCUUCUUAGAGGGACAGGCGGCGUUUAGCCGCACGAGACAGAGCAAUAACAGGUCUGUGAUGCCCUUAGAUGUCCGGGGCCGCACGCGUGCUACAUUGAAGGAAUCAUCGUGUGCUUUCCCGGUCCGACAGGACUGGGUAACCCGUUGAAACUCCUUCGUGCUGGGGAUAGGGGAUUGUAAUUAUCCCCCUUGAACGAGGAAUGCCCAGUAAGCGCGAGUCACCAGCUCGCGUUGAUUGCGUCCCUGCUCUUUGUCCACACCGCCCGUCGCUAUGACCGAUUGAAUGAUUUAGUGAGGUCUUCGGACUGGCGCUCGGAUUGGCUUU
rnacentral:rRNA from 1 species